GCCUUCUUGGCUCAGUUGGCUAGAGCGCAGGUCUCAUAGAAAUAUGAGUAACUUCAUCAGUUACGGAAUCCUGAGGUCGCAAGUUCGAGCCUUGCAGAGGGCA